AGUGAACGCUGGCGGUAGGCCUAACACAUGCAAGUCGAACGGCAGCACAGGAGAGCUUGCUCCCUGGGUGGCGAGUGGCGGACGGGUGAGGAAUACAUCGGAAUCUACUCUGUCGUGGGGGAUAACGUAGGGAAACUUACGCUAAUACCGCAUACGACCUACGGGUGAAAGCAGGGGACCUUCGGGCCUUGCGCGAUUGAAUGAGCCGGUGUCGGAUUAGCUAGUUGGCGGGGUAAAGGCCCACCAAGGCGACGAUCCGUAGCUGGUCUGAGAGGAUGAUCAGCCACACUGGAACGGAGACACGGUCCAGACUCCUACGGGAGGCAGCAGUGGGGAAUAUUGGACAAUGGGCGCAAGCCUGAUCCAGCCAUACCGCGUGGGUGAAGAAGGCCUUCGGGUUGUAAAGCCCUUUUGUUGGGAAAGAAAUCCAGCUGGCUAAUACCCGGUUGGGAUGACGGUACCCAAAGAAUAAGCACCGGCUAACUUCGUGCCAGCCGCCGCGGUAA
rnacentral:rRNA from 1 species